AGUGAACGCUGGCGGUAGGCCUAACACAUGCAAGUCGAACGGCAGCACAGUAAGAGCUUGCUCUUACGGGUGGCGAGUGGCGGAUGGGUGAGGAAUACAUCGGAAUCUACUUUUUCGUGGGGGAUAACGUAGGGAAACUUACGCUAAUACCGCAUACGACCUACGGGUGAAAGCAGGGGAUCUUCGGACCUUGCGUGAUUGAAUGAGCCGAUGUCGGAUUAGCUAGUUGGCGGGGUAAAGGCCCACCAAGGCGACGAUCCGUAGCUGGUCUGAGAGGAUGAUCAGCCACACUGGAACUGAGACACGCUCCAGACUCAUACGGGAGGCAGCAGAGGGGAAUAUUGGACAAUGGGCGCAAGCCUGAUCCAGCCAUACCGCGUGGGUGAAGAAGGACUUCGGGUUGUAAAGCCCUUUUGUUGGGAAAGAAAAGCAGCCGAUUAAUACCCCGCUGUUCUGACGGUACCCAAAGAAUAAGCACCGGCUAACUUCGUG
rnacentral:rRNA from 1 species